UUCCCCAAACACUGGAAACUCUCUGAUGUGCCCUUCUGACUGCAGGGUAGGAAUCAGCAAAAGUAUGUUCAGAAACUUAAUUGCCCAAGCAUCUUCUUUAGUGGUGACUGGGACAGUCACAAGAUCAUGAAGUUCUAGUUCUCUAGCUAGGUGUAUGCUGGCACCAGUGUCCAACACAGCUGCCUUCUCAGGUGCCAAGAAACCAGGAAGCUCCUUCCCAUAUGCUGUUUGCAGUUCACACCAGUUCUGAGUAGCCAGGUCCAGAAACUCCAGGAACUCUGAGUCACUCAAGUCUGAGAACCCUGAGGCUUCUGCUGACACUGUCUCCUCUUCUCUUGUCUCUGCCAUGGUACAGCUCUGGAUUGGGCUAGAAGGGCCCUGCAUAACAUGUUAAAGAAAUGCAUUGUUCAAAUAAAAACGUUCUCAAAAGCA
ensembl:lncRNA novel transcript